rnacentral:misc_RNA from 1 species
UUUAAGUUUUCAUUUUGCCAUUUAUGAUGGUAGAGUUGAAAAAUGUAAACAAGAAAUAACAAGGCAGAAUUUACACUGUUUCUUAUUGGAAUCAAGAUGGAACUGAUAUUGAACUGUCAAAAGAUUAAAAACUCCAGCUAGUUACUGUUGUUAUAUCAGGGAAGUUUAAUUUUUUUUAAUUGGAAUAUGAAAUAGAUGUAAAAAUUCUCACAGUAUAGCAAGUUUUGUAACCAGCAAAAUAACUGCCACAAGUUUUAUGGCUUGCAAAUAGGUUUUGCAAGUUUUGUGGCUUGAAAAUAGAACAACAAGUUUUGUAGCUUACAAAUAGGUAUUGGAAGUUUUGUGGCUUGCAAAUAGGUACUGCAAAUUUUGUGACUUGCAAAAUAAGUAUCGCACGUUUUGUUGCUCGCAAAUAAGGUACAGUAAGUUUUGUGGCUUGCAAGUAGGUACCGCAAGUUUUAUGGCUUGCAAAUUGAUAGUUGACUAUCAAUUAUUCAUUUUGUUUUGUUAAUGUAAUUUAAAAAUUAAAUUGUUUACUAGAAGCCCAGAUAAGAAAUAAUUACAUUUUUUAUUUCAAAAAAAUUGUUUUUUUGUGUGUGUUUUUUUCUCAGGUUGGAGUGGUUAAUCUGUUCCUUUACAUGAUAAUGUUUACUCAGAUGCAUCUUGUAAUGUGCAAUUGCAAGUUUCCAAAUACAUGCAAAGUAAAACUGUUGGCGACAUGGCACAUGUAUUGAAGUCUUCUGUCACAGUUGACUCAGCAAGAAUAAAAACAUCGAUACACUUUUGCAUUAUGGAAUACACAAGUUGGCAGUUCCUCGCCCACUGCCACCCAAAUACAGGUAUAAGAAAUCCUUAUCUGUACGUUACAGACGAUGGAGACGAAGUGAUUAUUAUGUGUAGCAACAGAUUAUUUUAUGAAGUUUUUAUCUUUCUGACUUCGUGAUGGAACUUAUUGGAGUACGCUUUUUUUGGACAUAGGAGGAGUAUUGCCGCUGCAAGCAUGACCAAUAAUAAAACAUUCCAAAGAAUAAUUUGUUAUUUCAACGAUUAGAUUUGUUGUUUAAAUGUAUAAA